rnacentral:rRNA from 1 species
UAACGAAUAUUCCGCAAUGGACGAAAGUCUGACGGAGCAAUGCCGCGUGCAGGAUGAAGCGGUUUCGCCGUGUAAACUGCUGUCAGGGGCAGGAAAAACUGAUCCGCCCCAAAGGAAGAGACGGCUAACCCUGUGCCAGCAGCCGCGGUAAUACAGGGGUCUCGAGCGUUAAUCGGAAUCACUGGGCUUAAAGGGUGCGUAGGCGGAUCCGUAAGCGCUUUGUGAAAUCCCCCGGCUCAACCGGGGAACUGCAGGGCGAACUGCGGAUCUUGAGGAAACUAGAGGCCGGUAGAACGAUUGGUGGAGCGGUGGAAUGCGUAGAUAUCAAUCGGAAUGCCAAAAGUGAAGACAGCCGGCUGGGGUUUUCCUGACGCUGAGGCACGAAAGCGUGGGGAGCAAACCGGAUUAGAUACCCUGGUAGUCCCUGAGCGGGCUGGCAAGGCGCAU